rnacentral:tRNA from 1 species
GAGCGUAUAGCUCAAGUGCUAGAGCACGUGCCUAACAAGCACAAGGUCCUUGGUUCAAUCCCUGGUACCUCCU